AAGGGAUCAUGAGGUCCUCCCAGGCAGCAAUGGAGGAGGAGAGACCCCCCAGUACCGGAGGCGGCGGCAGCGGGAGCCCGGGCUCAGCCAGGCAGCGCCAGUGAAUAGAGGAACGGAGAGAAGCUUGCCCCAGCGACCCUCCCUUUGGGCCCAGGCCGGGGCUCCACGCCGUACCUUAUAGUCAGCAUGGCAACUUCAUCAGAAGAAGUUUUACUGAUUGUAAAGAAGGUACGUCAAAAGAAGCAGGAUGAAGCCCUGUACCUCAUGGCAGAAAGGAUCGCUUGGGCACCUGAAGGCAAAGACAGAUUUACAAUCAGCCAUAUGUAUGCGGACAUUAAAUGCCAGAAAAUCAGUCCAGAAGGAAAAGCUAAAAUCCAGCUUCAGCUGGUGCUACAUGCAGGAGACACUACUAAUUUCCAUUUUUCCAAUGAAAGCACAGCUAUAAAGGAGCGAGAUGCUGUGAAAGAUCUUCUUCAGCAGUUGCUACCCAAAUUCAAGAGGAAAGCCAAUAAAGAACUGGAAGAGAAAAACAGAAUGCUGCAAGAGGAUCCUGUUUUGUUUCAGCUUUAUAAAGACCUGGUGGUGAGUCAGGUGAUCAGUGCUGAGGAAUUUUGGGCCAAUCGUUUAAGCAUGAAUACUGUGGAUAGCCCUGCAGCAUCCAAUCACAAGCAAGAUGUGGGCAUUUCUGCAGCAUUUCUGGCUGAUGUCCGCCCUCAGACAGAUGGCUGUAAUGGCCUAAGGUAUAAUUUAACCUCUGAUAUCAUUGAGUCCAUAUUUAGGACCUACCCAGCAGUAAAAAUGAAAUAUGCAGAAAAUGUUCCACAUAACAUGACAGAAAAAGAGUUCUGGACAAGAUUUUUUCAAUCCCAUUAUUUUCAUAGGGAUCGACUUAACACAGGGUCAAAAGAUCUCUUUGCAGAAUGUGCCAAAAUGGAUGAAAAGGGUUUAAAAACAAUGGUAUCUCUAGGAGUGAAAAACCCCCUACUAGAUUUGACAGCACUGGAGGAUAAAUCAUUAGAUGAGGGCUAUGGAGUUUCCCCUGUGCCAUCUACUUCCAACUCUUCGAAAUCCAUAAAGGAGAACAGCAAUGCCGCAAUCAUCAAGAGAUUUAACCAUCAUAGUGCCAUGGUCCUGGCAGCAGGUCUCAGGAAACAAGAAGCACAACAUGAUCACAAUGAGAACAACAGCACAGAUGGGAAUUCUCGGGAUUCAGACUUCUUUCAGCCACCAGUCAAAAGGGUGAAGUUACAGGAAUCCAUUGAAUAUGAAGACUUGGGGAAAAAUAACAACAUAAAAACUAUUGCACUAAGCCUAAAGAAGUCAGAUAGGUAUUAUCACGGUCCAACACCAAUUCAGUCCCUCCAGUAUGCAACAAGUCAGGAUAUUAUCAAUUCUUUUCAGAGUAUUAAGCAAGAGAUGGAAACUUACACACCCAAACUAACUCAGGUUCUUUCAAGUGGUGCUGCAAGUAGUACCAUCACGGCCCUAUCCCCUGGAGGAGCACUUAUGCAGGGAGGACCACAGCAAGCCAUAAACCAGAUGGUGCCAAGUGACAUUCAGUCAGAACUCAAACACUUGUAUGUGGCUGUGGGAGAGCUGCUGAGGCAUUUCUGGUCCUGUUUUCCAGUUAACACACCAUUCCUAGAAGAAAAGGUAGUAAGGAUGAAGAAUAAUUUGGAACGAUUCCAAGCUACUAAGCUCUGCCCAUUCCAAGAAAAAAUUCGGAGACAGUAUUUAAGCACAAAUUUGAUAAGUCACAUAGAAGAGAUGUUGCAGACAGCCUACAAUAAACUCCACACAUGGCAGUCCAGGCGCUUGCUAAAGAAGACGUGAAGGAGCCCAGGGCAUUGGAGGCUUUGGUCCCUGGGAUGCUUUCUGCAGCAGUUGUGGGAACACACCCUGAGCAGCUCGCACUUCACCCAGAAGAUGCUGCAGGGACAUCUGCAGCCACUGGACUUGGGAGCUGACGCUAUUGAACUUGCACAUUCUGGAGUGAAAGGAGCUGUGGUUAAACUUGAAAACUGGGAGGUUGAAAAAGGAGUAUUUUAAAUAAAGCAGAGAGAAGCUGUCGCUCUAACCAUCAGGAGACAGUUGUGGUCAGAGGCAUCUUCUGCUCUGUGUUUCCUACGGAAAUGAGAAGCAAUAGAAUUGCACUGAGCGCUUAUUUGUGGUUUGGGGUCCUGGAAUGACACAAGGGGAACAGUUUUGCAGAAAGUCUUGAAUUUUUUAUGCAAAAUCUUUUCAAGAGACAAUGGAGCUGCAUGUUUUUGUUUGAGUGCACAUAUGCACUGCUGAGAUUUUUUUAAGAUGGCAUGUGCUUUGGGAAACAAACUGCUUUUUUAAGAGUUUAAAGAUCUUACAAGUGAAGAGAACUAUAAGAAUCAUUUACUUAUUUUCACCUCGAGAAAUAAAGUUUCUCAAGUCUGUUUUUUUCCAGUCUCUACCUGACUGUUAAAACUAUUUUUGGCGAAUCGAUAAUCAUUGCAUAGAGUGGAAAGCGUGUGAAUGCAAAAAGAAGUUAGAUAUGAUAUUGUAUCUGGAAUCUGUGCCAUAUUUUGUUCCUAAUAGGAUCAACUCACUGUUUAUCAAAGACUUAGCUGUCUUGUAUUAAAAAUUAUACAAAAAAAGUAAACCCGUUUUAUACAUACCAAAAAAAAAAAAAAAAG